rnacentral:rRNA from 1 species
UGGGGAAGUAUUGCACAAUGGGCGAAAGCCUGAUGCAGCAACGCCGCGUGAGCGAUGAAGGCCUUCGGGUCGUAAAGCUCUGUCCUCAAGGAAGAUAAUGACGGUACUUGAGGAGGAAGCCCCGGCUAACUACGUGCC